rnacentral:rRNA from 1 species
GAUGAACGCUGGCGGCGUGCCUAAUACAUGCAAGUCGAGCGAACAGAUGAGGAGCUUGCUCCUCUGACGUUAGCGGCGGACGGGUGAGUAACACGUGGAUAACCUACCUAUAAGACUGGGAUAACUUCGGGAAACCGGAGCUAAUACCGGAUAAUAUAUUGAACCGCAUGGUUCAAUAGUGAAAGACGGUUUUGCUGUCACUUAUAGAUGGAUCCGCGCCGCAUUAGCUAGUUGGUAAGGUAACGGCUUACCAAGGCAACGAUGCGUAGCCGACCUGAGAGGGUGAUCGGCCACACUGGAACUGAGACACGGUCCAGACUCCUACGGGAGGCAGCAGUAGGGAAUCUUCCGCAAUGGGCGAAAGCCUGACGGAGCAACGCCGCGUGAGUGAUGAAGGUCUUCGGAUCGUAAAACUCUGUUAUUAGGGAAGAACAAAUGUUUAAGUAACUAUGCACGUCUUGACGGUACCUAAUCAGAAAGCCACGGCUAACUACGUG